GACGAACGCUGGCGGCGUGCUUAACACAUGCAAGUCGAACGGAAAGGCCCUGCUUUUGUGGGGUGCUCGAGUGGCGAACGGGUGAGUAACACGUGAGUAACCUGCCCUUGACUUUGGGAUAACUUCAGGAAACUGGGGCUAAUACCGGAUAGGAGCUCCUGCUGCAUGGUGGGGGUUGGAAAGUUUCGGCGGUUGGGGAUGGACUCGCGGCUUAUCAGCUUGUUGGUGGGGUAGUGGCUUACCAAGGCUUUGACGGGUAGCCGGCCUGAGAGGGUGACCGGCCAAAUGGGGGGUGAGAUAGGGCCCGACCUCAUAGGGGAGGGAGGAGGGGGGAAAUAAGCAAAAUGGGGGGAAGCCGAAUGCAGCAACGCCGGGGGGGGGAGGACGGCCUUAGGGUGGUAAACAGCUUUCGCUUGUGACGAAGGGUGAGUAAGGGAAAUGGGGAAAAAAGCACCGGCAAACUAGGG
rnacentral:rRNA from 1 species